rnacentral:tRNA from 1 species
GUUUUCGUAGUGUAGUGGUUAUCACGUUCGCCUCACAGGCGAAAUGCCCCCUGUUCGAACCCGGGCGAAAACA